AUUGAACGCUGGCGGCAUGCCUUACACAUGCAAGUCGAACGGUGACGGGCCUUCGGGUGCCGACGAGUGGCGAACGGGUGAGUAAUACAUCGGAACGUGCCCGAUCGUGGGGGAUAACGAGGCGAAAGCUUUGCUAAUACCGCAUACGAUCUACGGAUGAAAGCAGGGGACCGCAAGGCCUUGCGCGGACGGAGCGGCCGAUGGCAGAUUAGGUAGUUGGUGGGAUUAAAGCUUACCAAGCCGGCGAUCUGUAGCUGGUCUGAGAGGAUGAUCAGCCACCACUGGACCUGGAACACGCCCCGACCUCCUACGGAGGCCAGCAGUGGGGAUUUUUGACCAAUGGCCGCAACCCUAUCCCGCCCAUCCCCGUUGAAGGUGAAAGCCUUCCGGUUUGUAACCUCCUUUUUUCGGAACCAAAAGCCCUCUUUUAAUUCCAGGGGGUUAAGACCGUAACCGAAAGAUAAGCCACCGCUUAACUCCUU
rnacentral:rRNA from 1 species